rnacentral:piRNA from 2 species
CCCAGUGUUCAGACUACCUGUUU